UGCGUAGGGUGCGAGCGUUAAUCGGAAUUACUGGGCGUAAAGCGUGCGCAGGCGGUUCGUUGUGUCUGCUGUGAAAUCCCCGGGCUCAACCUGGGAAUGGCAGUGGAAACUGGCGAGCUUGAGUGUGGCAGAGGGGGGUGGAAUUCCGCGUGUAGCAGUGAAAUGCGUAGAGAUGCGGAGGAACACCGAUGGCGAAGGCAACCCCCUGGGCUGACACUGACGCUCAGGCACGAAAGCGUGGGGAGCAAAAGGG
rnacentral:rRNA from 1 species